UAAAAGUGAACACAAUACAACCCUGAACAACUCUGAUCAAUUCGGCAUAAAUAUAAAAGAAAAUCAGAGAUGGGGAAGAUUGACUCAGGAGAGAUUGGCGAGAGAGGGGAAGCUGCUGAGAAUGUGUGGAAGAAAUGUAUCACGCCAUCUCUCCGGCCGCAGACUUCCUUUGGGCAUAUGAAGGAGACCAGAUCCAGUCGUCAACGCAGUCUGGGCACGGGGUGAGUUGGUGAAGAAGGAUGGAUGAUUUCUACUGGAAGCCCUGGAGGAGAAACACUUAGUGAAUAUAUGCGAAUCUAAGAGGACGUCAGCAUACUUCCCUCCCAAAAAAUAUUUACGGAAGGAGCUGUUGAAGCGGGAAGCUUGUACUUUUUUCCAUCACUUUACAGUGGAAUACUCCCCGAGGCACCGUUGAGAUUAACACUGAACCAUGUUGCAUGAGUAGACAAAGCCCCCAAGUGAGUGGAUUACUGUCAGGACGGAAGGUAUAGGGAAGACCAGGCCGCCCGUAAUUCCUAUGGAAGAUGGUGCGGAGCUGCGGAUGGGCAGAGGCGAGGGACGCGGCCGCGCAGCGCGCACUCUGACGGGGCGCACGCAAGGAGCGGCCGCUGGAGGAGAGCGCGCACGGGAAGAUGCGUCUGGAUCCGUUCGGGAGGGAAACGAGACUUAGAUAUGUCAGUCAAACUGAGUUGGAAACGAGGACUGUAAAUCUCUGCUCUAUUGGGGAGAUCAAAUGAAAUGAAGACGCACAUCAAGGUUUUUUCUUCCAAGCAUGGCGGUGAUAAUUGGAUUGUGUGGACACCUGUAUGAGUGCAGUAUAUCCAGGGGAUUAGAGGAUGUGAUGGGUUCUGUCCAAACCUGUGGUUCAUGUGCACCUUGAAUGCUUCAGCUGAAUUCUGUUGUUUUGUCAUCUUGAGGGCCAGACCUGCAUCCUGCAUCAACUUUGACCUCGAGGGGAAUGCAAGUGUUAAAGUGAUUUUACAUAUAGAAUACUUGGUGUCAAAUAGACGUACUGACCCAGCUACCUGGAAACCUGCAUGGAGUGUUUUGGAAAGCUCUGAGCCUUGCAUGCCUGUUGUUACCUGUUUCGGAUAAACAAACCCCACAGCAGGCCGAGCAGGAGUUCGUCGCUGCACACCACGCUCACACACUAAGCAAACUAUGACCAGGUGUGCACGCAUAGAGCCGAUCUUCCGUCAGCAUCCUGUCACGCAGAAGAUGUUUAUCCAAUUUGUCAAGAUAAUCUUUCCUCAAACAAGGCCUGGGUUGAGGCCUCUUGGCACACACAACUACUGCAAGGCAGAAACGCAAACUGUCUCCUUUAACUUUUUGUGAGACUACUUAUAUUAUAUCUUUCUUAACCAAAUUAUCUGGCUUUGCUUUUUCUGGCAUGUUUAAGAUCUGUUUAAUUCGUUCUCAGACAGAUCAUCCUGCACAUUACACAAAUUUAGACUCUUAAUGGUGUUGCGAUCUGUUUAAUUUUUCUCCCUGGAUUACUGCUUUAUUAAUGAUGUCAGUUUUACUGGAAUAUGAAAUGACACGCACAUUAGCAUAAAUAACACACAUCUGCAUAUGGCCCACAACUGACGGUGGUUGACACACACUUAAAUUACAGCAUAAGCAAAAAAAAUAAAUCUUUUCAUUUGCUACGGUGUGGAUUAUUUUAAAAGGAUUUCGGUGGGAUAUUUAUGAAUGUUUCAUGAUACACAAACUUCAUAUUUAGAGAGGGGGUUAUUUAUCUCUGGAUAUCAUCUUAAAUAAUAGGAGUUAUUAUAAAAGCCUCUUAAAUGAUGUGUGCUGUAAUUGCACAGCUGCAGCACAUGUCCGUUUUAACUUUGUGACAAGAUCUGCAAACUUUUUGUAAAGUAUUUUAAGACUUCAUAGGACUAAAGAUGACAGACUUACUAGUCCUAUGUAUAAUUUGAUUUCUAAGACUAUGUAUAAUUUGAUUUCUAAGUCUAUAGUUUGUCAUGUUUUGCAGUUGCACAAGUAGCUGAGCAGAACUACGAACAUGAAACAUUAAAUACAAUAAAGAACCUAAUAGUAAAUUAAAAGUGCGUUAUCAUGGAAAUCAAGAGCAUGUUUAAUGAUAACUUAAGGCACCUUUGACACACAAACAGUGCAAAGCUGCU